UAGUGUAACGUUCAGGAAACUUAAAUGUGAUUAAAACAGUAACGUUAAUGUUCUAGUUGUCAGUAAUCAGCUUUAAUUUGACACUAAAACAGACUGAUAGAUUUAAAUGACAUCAGUUUCAUUAAUUUGUUGAAAAUCGUCUCAUUUGUUGUUGUGAUGUUGCUGCUGAUUCAUUAAAAGCAGAUGAUCCGUGUUGAAGAUAUGUUUAGUUCGAGUAUCAGAAGUACAAGAAGGAGUUUAGUUCUGCUAUAUCAAAAAUUUCAGGAUUAAAAUAACUAAAUGGGUCUUUAUGCCUCAAACUUUAUUUUUACAAUAAUGAAAUAAUCACAGAUAAUAAAAAUAUAAAUAGCAGAGAAAACCUGAGAGAAUAAUUUCCUGAAAAGUCUGUGAAGGAAAAGCAGCUUUUUAUCUUGAAAGAUCAGAAUCAGCUCCAACAUCUGCAUCUGACAGCAUCAAGUCAACCAGAAAGAAUAGAAAAAAGAAAAUGACUUCUUUCUGAUCACAUCUGUUCCGCUGCUCACAGUCUGCUGCUGCUCACAUUCUUCACAUUUAUAGUCCACUUUUAAAAGUUCAGCAGACAGGUGCUCUGCUUUGGAGUGUGACGAUGUCAUCGGUGAUGUGGAGAGUGAAGUUUUUCACCCACAGCGUGCUUUAGGGCAGCCGGGUCGGACUUGAUGUUUGAAAUACUGACCGACAGCUCAGAUUUAACUGUCUGUAGUUCUGUUUUGAUGGGUGUUAAACUUUCACUCAAAGCCGCCAGGAGCUGGGUCUUUAAAAUAACCACCGUCUCGUUACAGAGUGAAAGUAGCAGUCCCUCCUGAAGGUCAGAGAUUGCAGCAACUGAGAGCCUCUUCAAAAGAAGACAUAGUUGAUGAAGGUGUUUUGGAGCAGGACCAGAAAGACCACGACCAAGCAGCCCUGAGAUCUUAGGCAGCGUCUCCCUCAGGUCCCCCUCUAUCUCCCCACACAUCCACCAACCACUGGAACACAUCUCCAAAGUUCUGCCGGGCCAGCUCAGCUUCCCCUCAGAAGAAGUGCCGCCACCUGCCAGAUGAAGGAGCCUUUUGAGAGGCAGCCGGCAUCGUGAUUGGACUGUACUUUGGUCUGUUCCAAUCCAGCUUCAGCUCCAGAGACGGCGGGCGGGACGAGUCAACGGAGGCCGGGUGGAUGAAGGCAUGCAGCUGAGUACAAUCCAGAAAACAACAGAGGAGGAGUGCAGCAGCCCAGGGCCAGAACAGAGUAACAUAACCAAAGAACUACAGACUCUUCACAACCUGCUCAAACUCUUGGUACAGGACCUCACCACACGGGUCAAGAAGGUUUCCAUCUCAUUUCUACUCUGAAGCUCACCUUCUCCUGCUCAAACUGCUGACAAAUGUUUCUGCUGCUCUAAAGUCUGGUCUCCAGAACUUCCUAAAAACUCUCAAAGUCUCUUCUGCUGCAGGUUGCUUUGUAGAACUGUUGCAGAAAACCUCACUAAACCACAUGGAGGGGCCUCAAGAUAGUCGUCCAAAUGAAACCAUACAAAAACCAAACUAGCACAACCCAAACGCUAAAGUCUCCUGCAGCCUACCAGAGAACCUCUGAGAACAGAGAAUCAGGAGAGGAACUCUUACCUUCUGGACAACCAACGUUGGUUCUCAAACAAGAAUACAGAAUGUGUUUGACCCAAAACCUCGAAAGACUCACUACAGCCAAGAUAAAGACACAACUCAGCUGUACCAAAUCCACUAAUCACUGCAUACAUUAGCACCAUGUGCUAACUGUGGCUAAAGAACCACAUUUACCAAGACAACUAUCCAGUACAAAGCCCUAAAACACACCAAGAAACACAUUAAAGACGAUUUUACUGCUGGAAGCUGCAAGCCAACGCCUAAAGAACGAACUAAAGCAAUGGAGCCAAACCAGGUUCAGUGGUGAACAGACGCAGAGGAAAUGUUUGGCUGCAGCCACAUAAAGCAGGAAGACACUGAGCUGCUCAGGUGUUCCUGAUAACACCAAGCAGCCACCUGGACAGCCAAUAGGAACACAGCUUACUGGAAGUCCAGAGGGCUGGGUUAGUGAAGGAAAUUUAGUUUAAAGUUGAGGCAGAAAGUUAACAAAGAAAGUUGAAAACCACCUUCUGAUACCUGAAAUCUCUGAGUUUUCACACAAAGAACGCCUGAACAUGUCAAACUGGCUUCAUAGUAGAACCAUCAUUGUAAAAACGUCAUAGUAUGGUGUGUUGUUCAAAAAACAUUAUGACCCGGCUGUCUAGGGUUGCCGAGGAGCAACACAAAAACAGGACAAACGCUGGUUUCCAGGGGGUUAGGUGGGUAUUUAUUUGAAAGAGUAAGUUUACAACAACACAACAUGUGAGCAGAAAAAUCACAAAGUCUAUCUUUAGUUCAGCUGAAAAUAUUAGUUUUUGUCUUUUUUAUUGACCAAACUUUUCAGGAAGUAGAUGAAGAAUAAUUAAAGCUCUCAUGUAGAAGUCCAACUUAUUUUGGAUCCUUGUGGAGAGUUUAAUCUUAGAGUUUGUAGAGCUGUUGAGUUUUUAGAGUCACAUGGAUUGUUUUGACAUUUAAUAACCGAGUCCUGAAAUAAAAUUACAGUUGUGGAUUUCUGUCAUUUAGUCUGGACUAAACAAAUAACAGCAGCAUAAAUCUCAAACGUGAUUAUGAGGAGUCUGGAUUGAGGUUUCUCGCUUGAUAAUGAUCAAAACAUGAAAUUUAGGUUGGUUUAAAGGAAUAUACCACCUUAAAUCUUUGAAUGUUGACCUAAAAGGUUGGUUUCAGGAAGUAUUCCACCUACAAGGUCCUCAAACAACCACCUUAAAGGAGCAUUCCACCAAAAAUCCUUGGACAUGCACCUAAAAUGUUGGUUUAACCGAGAAUUCCUUCCAAAAUCCUCGAAGAGACCUGAGGGGCUGGUUAAAAGGAAUAUUCCACCUAAAAACUAAAAUAUAGACCUGAAAAGGUGGUUUAGAAAAAAUCCUUCAGUGUAGACCAAAAAAGUCAGUAUGGAGGAAUAUUCCACCUGAAAUGUAGACCUGAGAAGUUGUUUCGAAAGAAUAUACCAUCCUAAACAUCCUUAAAUGUAG